ACCAACAAGGUGUGAAUCUCACGCAAGCAAAAGUACCAUUUAUUUAAUGCGUUGCCCCAGGAACCCACAGCAUUUGAAUAACAGUGUGUAAAGCAGUAAAAGACCAAAGGUGGCGCGAACCAUGACAUUUCACCUGCUACUGUGUCUGUGGUGUAACAAACCACAAACGAUGCUCAGUGUUUCAGCAUUAAAAGGUUCUACAGAACUAAAAUGAGGGGCAGAAUAGGACUGGUCCUUUGACAGAAACAGUAACAGAUGAUUUUUAAAAUUAUUUACCUGACUCACUUUUAAAUCAAACUUAUUAGACAUUUUUAGCCAUUGACGUAUGAAGCGCUGUUUUUCAUGCACAUCACAGUAAUAUAUAUGACAGUUGGAUAGACAGUAAUCAGGAUCAAAGUAUAAUAACUGGGUAUUGUUUAUUUUUUUCGUAUUUUAUUAGUGGUGUCGAAUGGUCGUACAGUAUUAACAGCGUCCUUGAACGCACCACGCCACGGUCAGCUGGCGGGCUUACUAAGCCGCUCACGGUACUGUGCUACUAAACUGCCCGCGCCCAUGAGAAGUUAAAGUCACUAAUGUGUUGUACAGUAACGACAGGAACGCAGGCGGGCAUGUUUUGAGACAUUUCGGAGGAUGCACCAAACCAAGAAGUUGUUAGUGUUUAAAUCACGGGACUAAGAUAAGUAAGCAUGCUAGUCGACGUUAAGCUAGCUGCUAGCAUAAACCGCUGGCGUUGCGGUCCGUCGUCUCCUGGUGAAAAGGAGCAACGUUUGCCUGAAGUGACUCCAAAGGAAGAGGACGUGGACCACAAGUCAACAAAAAGGACACCUGCAAAGGAGAAGCAGAUGAGGAGGUCCGGACCAAGUAACUUUUUUGAUUGAGACAAGAAAGGAAGACUUCCCUGCUGUAAACACUGUGAUGAAAAUACAGAACGGGAUGUCUGCUACAGGAGAGCAAAUGGAGGUAGCAUCGUGUUUUGCGGAGAUGUGGCUGAACACAUCGACGCCGGACUCAGUGGUUGCCCUGGAGGGUUUUAAACUUGUCCGGGCAGACGGGAGCGUGAAGCGUGAGAGAAACCGGGAAGAACAAGGGAGAUGGUGCGGCGAUGUUUUGCGACAGUUCUGCACCAGAGGCAUUGAGCUGUCGGCAUCUGGCCCUACUACAACCCGAGGGAGUUUUCACAUGUGAUUGUGCUCGCUGUGUACAUCCCACCCUCGGCCGACGCUGCAGCGUGUGAGCGACUGCACGGAGCGGAGAGGCGGAUGCAGACAUGGCAUCCACAUGCGCUCCUACUUAUCGGCAGCUACUUUAACCACGUGUCUCUCUCGUCCACCCUCCUGAUUUUUUCACCCUGUACGUGAGGUGCCACACCAGGGUCAAAAACAUGCUGGACCUACUGUAUGCAAACGUUAAGGGCGCACACAGCCACUAACCUCUCCCCCCACUUGGCCGCUCUGAUCACAACCUGGUACAUCUGCUCCUGGAAUACACACUGAGAAGAGAACCAACACAGAAAAAGUCUGAGAGUAUGGACUGAUGAGGCCUGAAGAGACUGUUUCCAGACCACUGACUGGGAGACACGCUGCAGCUCUCAUGGUAAAGACAUCAACGGCCUGAUCCACUGCAUCACGGACUACAUCAACUUGUGUGUGGAGAACACGGUACCGAACCCGGAGGGUGAGGUGCUUCUCCAAUAACAAGCCCUGGGUGUGACCCCUGAACUUAAAGCCCUGAAGAAGUGGGCUUUUGUCUAGGGACAUAGAGGAGCAGCGGAGAGUUCAGCGUGAACUCAAGUACAAGACCAGGCAGGCCAAGAAAAGCUACAGGGAAAAGUCAGAUGUGUGGAGGGGCUAAAGACCAUCUUUGACCAUGGAGAGAACAGAGAUUCAUCCAUUGUUGGCUGAGUCUGAGGGGAACGAGCUGGAAUGCAGGCUUGAAGAGAGCGUAGAGGAAGACAGACACCACUGUCAGGAGGCAGGAGACGGCCACGGCAGCUACCACCAGCCAAGUAAAUGUAGCAUCUGCAGAGACAGAGAUGAAGGAUCCGGCCAUCUCUGUAUAGCUGGGCUGAUCGGCCGUUAACCAUCCAUGUGACUAUGGUGGAUUCUGACUUUUCACAUUCAGUGAGCACUGUGCAAAACAGCUCCAGUCCUGAGCCUACGACAAAUCAGAGAUGGAUGAAAUGAAAUUCUUCCAAUUGCAACGUUGUGGAGAGACAUGAAUGUCUGCCGGACACCAAGCCGUCGCAAAGGAUAUCCUCUUAGACAUCUGCACUUGACUUGUUUCAGCCGGGUAAGAGACACAGUCACAGUGAGAUCAGACACCACAGGAAGCACUCAAGAAGUCAGAACUUGCAACACACCCACAAUUUAUUAAGAUGGUAACAUGAAUGCUAAUUUACUAUCAAAGCCUGGUGAUUAACCCAACAGUUAAUAUUUGACUACUAAUAUUUAACUGUGGUUGGUAGAUAGUUCGCACAAUUAAGUCAUUUUCCAAUGCACAUUCGAAUUAAGUAAAAAUAGCAUCUGUUGAAAUUGACAAACCAAAAGUGCUUCCAUUGGCUAAUAUGUUACAGCAUGUAUUGUUUCAACACGUUUGUAUAUGUUUUGGCAAUGAACGGCCGCAGCGGCACAUUAAAGACACUAAAUUCAGUAUUGUUUUAAAAUUAAAGUUUAUUCAACGAAAAAGCCUUCAGGAAAAUACAGGACUUCCUGUCGUACAGAGAGGACACAAGUUAGAGAAGCAUGGCAGAAACAGAGGGUCAACACAUUGCCUCACAUCCAAGCCUGCAGGGAGCUUCACUGCAAAGUUUCCACGUUGAAGCAGCACUAAGUGAAUAUCUGUUCCUCUUUAGAUUUUUAGACUAUUUACUGACUCCCAGAAUGAACAUGAAUACCAUGAAACACAUUAGUGCAACAAAACAUUACGUCUGUAAACAUUGUUAAAGGAUUUCCAAGUAGUGGACACAUGGCCUUGUUUCCAAAUUGCUUCUUAUGAGGUGUAACAGAAAGUUGAGUUAAUUGAGUGACCAGUAGUAACCUUUUUAUUGUUACAGUAAACUGAUUUUGAGUGCGAUUGUUGACAUCGGGGAAAAACACAGCGAAGACAAACUUGCUAGUGACCUUUGAAAACAUGUUUGGACAUGAAGUCAGAGCAGACUUCUCUCUCCUUUGCCCCCUUUUUUUAGUCAACAAUGAUAAGGUCCUUUCUGAAAAAUCCAGCCUGACAAGCAGCCUGAAGGUGCUGCUGCUCAGUGUUUCAGACAGAGUAAAAACAUUAGAGCCAGAAUUACACACAUCUUCCCAGAAAAGUGGGCUGUUGCUUUCAACCAAGUGCAGGAAAGCGCUUCUCCUUGUUACCCCAUUUGUGCCCAUGUCUACUGUUAAAUUGAUACAGUUCAUGACCAACAACCUGUUUGAGUCAACUUUUGGAAACAAGAACAAUACGUCCCCACCCCAGAAACAUCUCCACCUGCCAUGCAGGCUCCACUGCUGCAACUUCCACUCAUCUUGUUAGAAAAUGUAACAUCUAGGUUCGACAAGAUAGAAAUUAAAAAAUCAUCUCAUGCUUUGGACCAUCACACAGCAAGAAGUCUACAUUCUUGACAGUUAGAGCGUUGCAUUCAUACAUCCGAAAAUUGAAAGGAGUAAAUGGAAAAUACAAAAUCACCUUUCAGGAAGAACUGUAGAAAUAAUGCUGCUGCCCAUGCGAUUGCUUCUCUGUCCCUGGAAUCCAAUUAGAUUCCAGGGACUGAUUACUUGCGCUCACACACUGUGCUGAACGUAUUUUUCUACUUUAUCGCACCUUUUAUCUUUAAUUUUAUAUUUCAGUAUUCACAGCAGUUAGUUCCUCUCGAUUGAUUGGUGGGGAAAACAUGACCACUGACACUAUCCGGAAGCUUAAAAUGAACUUUUAUUGUACAUACACACCGGGUUUUUUUUAGACCACACCCACAUCACGUUCUUUAAGACAAACACACUUUGCACUUCCGUGGGUUUAGCAUAUUAGCAAGCAUACUGUGGGUGUAUGUGCACUUAUCUUAAAAAAAAAAGAAAGAAAAGGAAACAAUGUAAAAGACAUGAUUAACUCCAUAUAGUUACACUUAUCUUUAAGGAAUAAUAGUAAUAAUUCAAAAAAAUACUAUUCUGAAUUCAUCUGCUUCAACGUUGCUGUCUGCCCAUCAAAGCACCUGUCCGAACAACAUAAUGUUAACAAAAACGCACAUCGGCCUCCUGUCGGAUCCCGUCACUCAGACUUCACGUUAAAGCCUCCAGCAUUAGCCUCCUCCCGCCUUCUUGUCACCAGCUUAAGGAUUUUACAAAUACUCCUGGCUUGCAACCUCUAACCAGCAUGUCAGCAGUAAGUGGACCAAACAGAAGUACAAUUACACACAUUACUGUAGCAUUAAUACAACACACUCUGACCCAACCGACCCCAUGAAUGCUCAACAGAAAGGGCGGCGGGCUGGAACACGGGGCACAGGAGCAACUGUCUUACAAGAGGCAGACCUGCAGAAGGUAGCAGUAGUUAUAGUAGUGGUAGCAGUACUAGUACUUAUAAAACCUCAGGGUUACUGACCAGCCCAGGUGAACGGAAAUAAGACAGAGGUACAAAAUCUAUCCCAUCACGAUCUGAUGAGCACCAAGGAAAUGACAAAGUAUUUGCCCCCAUUCUUUGAAUUCACAUUAAAUGUAUUCCUUCUUCCGUUAAUAUCUAUUAAUCAUCGAUAUAUUUUCAGAUGCAGGUCACCGCUUCCGGUAUUUCAGGGAGCAACGACUGUGACUGGUUGGACCGUGCCAUAGGUGUCUCCCAGAGCUUAGAUGCAGAGGCGCUGCAGCCAUAGAGGGGAGGUGAAGCUACUGUUGUCGACUGCUCCAGAGGGGCUGAUUGCUUGUUGUUUUCUUCUCGUGUGGUUGUCCAAGACGGCUGACAAGACGUCGACGUCGGGUUCUUGAGAUCCAGUGUUAGCGAGGGUGGAGGACAAUGAGGAUGAGGAGAAGGAGGAGGAAGACGGCAGGGUUUGGACAUCUACCAGCUGAGCAGGUUGCUUCGGCCUAGAGUCAUAAAGUAGACCUGGCUGGAUCCUCCAGACCGAACGGAGGCGAAGAACACCUGGACAGACACAUGUUUAGAGGUUCUUAGUAGCAGAGAAACUUGAGUCUCUGAGCUCUCUUGUGCAUGAAAACACCGUCCAGAUGUCCAGUCUCCACCGAGCGGAUCUCUAUUGCCUUUUCUCCCCAACCCAUGAUCUGGUUAGAGCGAAUAUAGGCUGCAGAGAAAAAUGAAGGUCAACUAACAGAGAAAGUCCAGGCUCACUGCUUGUCCCUGCGACUCACCGACUGAGGUGGGCAUCUCCCCCCACUGCAGCACCACAUCCUUGGUGAUUCGUCCAUAAGUGUUGACGUACACUCCCUCGUCUUCGUAGCACACCAGCAGCUCGAUGCCAUCGGUGUUGGGCAAGAUGAUGAUGGCAUGAGACUGGAUAUUGGUUUGAAUCUGCAGGGAAAACAGACAUGUCAGCUGAUUUAGGUUGAAUCUUUUGGGACUGUUUAAACAACAUUUUGAUAGGCAGGUAGAUGUCGUAGACGGCCCCGGAGUCAACAUCCACAGCAUGGAAGCCUGAACACGAGCCAUAGAUGACUUUUAACCUCUGACCCUCCUCCACAGUCAGGUCCACCAGCAGGGGCUUGUGCACCAGGAAGACAAAAAAUGACCAGGCCACCUGAAACAUGACUUAAAGCCUAAAGUUUCCUGAGACAUGGUUCAAAGACUUAAAGAAAUCAGGAACAAAACCUCAACCUUUCAUGCACCUGGCAUAAAACGUCUAAUGUUUCCAUAGAGGCUGUAAAAACGUGACCUACCAACUUUGUAGUGGACGCAGCCCUCCAGGUCUCCCACCGUGGUCCAACCCUGCUUCUUCUCCACCUCGGGGUCGUUGUGCAGGAUCUUGUUCCUCAGCCAGGAAAGAAUAUAUUUAGAGAUACUAUCAUGAUUCACACCUUAGGAGCUGCUGAGGUUUGCUCUUUCUUGUGGAUCCUGCACAUGGUUGAUGUUUUGCAAUGUUAUGGGAAGUUAGUGAGUUUCUUAUGACCACGUCUCCUACUACCCUGAUGAUGACCACGCUUGCUGUCUUGUGAAUUACUCGUCUGUUUUUUCUGCACUGAGGAUUCCAUGACGUAUAUUUUUAUGAAUAGGCGCAAAUGUUUUUCAUGGAAGGAUAUCGACAUGUUGCUCUGUGGCUUUUUCCUCCAUCAUGGAACACUUCAGCGCGUGUGUAAGCAUUACAUACAUGCUGUGAUUUCAGCCAAAAGAUUUACUCAAUAUCCGUUCUGUACUGAAUAUGUGUUGUGACAUUUAUGACUGCACUGCCUUUUUUGUGAGUAGACUUGAGAAAGAGAAGUAAUGUGGAUGCACUUUCAAUCUGAGAUAUCCUGGAACUUAACUGUAUAAAAACAUUUAUGUAACAAUAUUGUACACAAUGUACACAAUAUUUUGAGAAUAUGUAGAAUGGGACAAUAGUUUUAAUUUGUGUGUAUAUGUGCACAAACUAAGACUUAAACCACACAACCACACACUUGAGUGUGUGAAGACACAACAGAGUAUAGAGAAGUGAGACUGUUAAAGUGUCAGUAAUAACUUUAAGUGUCACUUCUGUUACACUUGUUUGUAGUAUGAGUCUUUUUCCAGGUAGGACUAAUUUGCCUGCAUGAAUUGCAAUAAACUAAUUCUUUAAAUGUG